AUGGUAGGAUAGAGGCCUACCAUGGUGGUAACGGGUAACGGGGUGUUAGGGCACGACACCGGAGGGGGAGCCUGAGAAACGGCUACCACAUCCAAGGAUGGCAGCAGGCGCGCAAAUUACCCAAUCCCGACACGGGGAGGUAGUGACAAUAAAUAACAAUACGGGGUUCUUUAGGAUCUCGUAAUUGGAAUGAGUACAAUUUAAAUCUCUUAACGAGGAACAAUUGGAGGGCAAGUCUGGUGCCAGCAGCCGCGGUAAUUCCAGCUCCAAUAGCGUAUAUUAAAGUUGUUGCAGUUAAAAAGCUCGUAGUUGAAUUUCGGGGUCAGUAGGUCGGUCGUGCCACUGGUAUGAACUGGUUUUACUGAUUCCUCCCUCUUGAAGAACUGUAAUGCCAUUAAUUUGGUGUUGCAGGGAAUCAGGACUGUUACUUUGAAAAAAUUAGAGUGUUUAAAGCAGGCUUUAGCUUGAAUACAUUAGCAUGGAAUAAUGAAAUAGGACGUUUGAUCCUAUUUUGUUGGUUUCUAGGAUUGACGUAAUGAUUAAUAGGGAUAGUUGGGGGCAUUAGUAUUCAAUUGUCAGAGGUGAAAUUCUUGGAUUUAUUGAAGACUAACUACUGCGAAAGCAUUUGCCAAGGAUGUUUUCAUUAAUCAAGAACGAAAGUUAGGGGAUCGAAGACGAUCAGAUACCGUCGUAGUCUUAACCAUAAACUAUGCCGACUAGGGAUCGGAUGAUGUUAAUUUUUUAAUGACUCAUUCGGCGCCUUACGGGAAACCAAAGUGUUUGGG
rnacentral:rRNA from 1 species